UACGAAGGGGGCUAGCGUUGUUUGGAAUCACUGGGCGUAAAGCGCACGUAGGCGGUUCUUUAAGUCAGAGGUGAAAUCCCAAGGCUCAACCUUGGAACUGCCUUUGAUACUGGGGAUCUUGAGUCCGGGAGAGGUGAGUGGAACUGCGAGUGUAGAGGUGAAAUUCGUAGAUAUUCGCAAGAACACCAGUGGCGAAGGCGGCUUACUGGACCGGUUCUGACGCUGAGGCGCGAAAGCGUGGGGAGCAAACAGG
rnacentral:rRNA from 1 species